UUAUUUCUCUUUAUUAGAAGUGGCACUUGAGGGGUACGAACACUGUUAUAUGCAGUUGUACUAAAAGUAGCAAAAUGUGUACAAUAAAUUUGGGCCAAUUUUGAGUUCAAUGCCCACGUGUAUGUAUUUUAGGUCAAUGACCUCCAAGUUUUCUUUUUUUGACAGACACGUAAGAAACAACUGGUUUUCACUCUUUUUUUAUCUUUCUCUUUUCUCUGUAAAAUUGAUGCAUUUCUUCCUCCAAGUUAGUCUUGGUCGAAGAGUUGUAGGAAUUUUCUUUUUUUGUCUUUUUAUUUUUCUGGGAAUUUUUAGCAACUAGCAGUUGCAUUGGCAUUUGGCAAGGCUAUCCAAUAGAGCCUCUCUCACCGGAAAAUGAGUACCACGAAAUUAUUCAAAAUUCUCAACUUUUCUGGAACAAGCUUCAACAAUACUCCACAUCAUUGCCUACCAAUUUCAAAUUUAGCAGAGAAAUAUCAAGGACAACUGAUGAUCGUGCCUGAGUCUGAGGUCAACUACCAUUGAAGAUUUAAAUUAUCAUAUUGCUAAUGCAAGGAGUAUGUGAAGAGGUUCUGCAGGAGCGGAAACAAGUCCAAGAAAGAGACUAUUAUGAAGCGCACCUAGAAAUAUGAGGUUGAUGAAUAAAGAAGAUAUUCAUUCACAGUUGAAGAAACUGAACAAGUAUGCUUGUGUCAUUCAUGUGUUGGUUCAAGAUUUUUUUUGGCUGACACAUUACAGUAGAUUGGCUUUUGAUUUAUAAAAACAAAAUACAUCCCUGCUUAACUGGGUGGUACCUUCUUUCUACAAAGUUUGUCUUGAAAAGAUGAGUUGACAGACUAAUCAGGACAUAGAAAAGAAUGCUUAGCUUUACUAGGUUGAAGAAGAAGGAAUAAGCUCGGUAAAAUUUCCAACUUGACUGAAUGAGACUUCGACUACACAACUUCACUUAACUUUCAUGUUGUCUGUUGGAGAAGAGAGAAUAUUAUUCAAAAAUAAAUGUAAGUUGCAUUUCUAAGUCUUUCAAGUACAUUCCAAAUUAUUUUUUGCACCUUUUAAAUUUUGUGUCCCUGUAACACAUUUUCUGUGGAAAAAGAAUUGUCGAAUUGUAGUUUGUAUAUUAAUAAUGAAUGCUAACUGAUUUUCUGUGUUAAUUGAGCUCCUCUAAAGGUCCCUAAGAGAACACGAGUAUACUUCUACUAUGAGAAGACUGUUUUAACUUGUUUUUAUUUGUUGCUUAUUUUUUUUUUUUUUUUUUUGUAUAGAACAUACAAAGUUUAUUAUAUUUGUGUAGUUUAUUCGUCAUGAUUGAGAAGGAACUUAUAGCACAUAAAUGGUUAUGAGAUGAAGAUGAAAGCAAAAGUUAAUAGCAUGAUAUAUGCUAUGUGAUUGUUAUUUGUAGUUUUGAUGAUUUGACAAACUUAGGGACCUCAUAAAGGUACCGGGUUUUCUACUUGAGUAUUGCAGGUGUAUUGUUCGAAGUAUUGCAGAUGACACAAAACUCAGGGACCUAAUAGAGGUACCAGGAUCUCAUGAUGAUGAGCCAGUCAACUGUCAGCUGGAGAUGGUGCAGAAAGUAGGUGCACACUUCCCGAUGGCGUCAGAAAGUGACCCUUCCAACCAAUGGCAAAGAAGUUUAGGAAAGUGACUUGCCCAUAUAAAAGGCACUUUCCUAAACACUUUUCUUCAGUUUUUGC